rnacentral:rRNA from 1 species
UACGAAGGGGGCUAGCGUUGCUCGGAAUCACUGGGCGUAAAGGGUGCGUAGGCGGGUCUUUAAGUCAGGGGUGAAAUCCUGGAGCUCAACUCCAGAACUGCCUUUGAUACUGAGGAUCUUGAGUUCGGGAGAGGUGAGUGGAACUGCGAGUGUAGAGGUGAAAUUCGUAGAUAUUCGCAAGAACACCAGUGGCGAAGGCGGCUCACUGGCCCGAUACUGACGCUGAGGCACGAAAGCGUGGGGAGCGAACGAAGGAU